GGCUGGUCCGAAUGUAGUGAGUUAUCUCAAUUGAUUGUUCACAGUCAGUUACAGAUCAAACUCCUUGUUCUAUUCUUCCCCUCCUUCUCACUACUGCACUUAACUAGUCUUAA
ensembl:misc_RNA Y_RNA Y RNA